UACGUAGGGGGCAAGCGUUGUCCGGAUUUAUUGGGCGUAAAGAGCUCGUAGGUGGUUCGGUAAGUCAGGUGUGAAACCUCCAGGCUCAACCUGGAGACGCCACUUGAUACUGCUGUGACUGGAGUCCGGUAGGGGAGCGUGGAAUUCCUGGUGUAGCGGCGAAAUGCGCAGAUAUCAGGAGGAACACCAGCGGCGAAGGCGGCGCUCUGGGCCGGUACUGACACUGAGGAGCGAAAGCGUGGGUAGCAAACAGG
rnacentral:rRNA from 1 species